GCUUACGGCCACACCUCCCUCAGCACGCCCGAUCUCGGAAGUUUAGCAGGGUCUGGCCUGGGUAGUACUUGGAUGGGAGACCGCCUGGGAAUACCAGGUGUGCUGUAAGCC
ensembl:rRNA 5S_rRNA 5S ribosomal RNA